rfam:Oryza glaberrima chromosome 8 Oglab08_0155_4, whole genome shotgun sequence.
AAUCAUUGCACUAUUCACGAUCAACGUUUAAUCGUUUGUCUUAUUUAAAAUUUUUUUAUGAUUAAUAUUUUUAUUGCUAUUAUUAGAUGAUAAAAUAUGAAUAGUACUUUAUGUGUGGCUAAAUGUUUUUAAAUUUUUCACAAAGUUUUCAAAUAAGACGGACAGUCAAAUGUUAGACACGGAUAUCCACGGCUGCACUUAUU